CCUACGGGAGGCAGCAGUGGGGAAUAUUGCACAAUGGGGGAAACCCUGAUGCAGCGACGCCGCGUGGGCGAAGAAGUAUUUCGGUAUGUAAAGCCCUAUCAGCAGGGAAGAAGAAAUGACGUUACCUGAGUAAGAAGCACCGGCUAACUACGUGCCAGCAGCCGCGGUAAUACGUAGGGUGCAGGCGUUAUCCGGAUUUAGUGGGUGUAGAGGGCGCGCAGGCGGCACGGCAAGCCUGAUGUGAAAGCCCGAGGCACAACCGCGGGACUGCCGUGGGAACUACCGGGCUGGAGUGUCGGAGAGGUAGGCGGAAUUCCUAGUGUAGCGGUGAAAUGCGUAGAUAUUAGGAGGAACACCAGUGGCGAAGGCGGCUUACUGGACGGUGACUGACGCUGAGGCUCGAAAGCGUGGGGAGCAAACAGGAUUAGAUACCCUAGUAGUC
rnacentral:rRNA from 1 species